rnacentral:misc_RNA from 1 species
GAUGAAGAACGCAGCGAAAUGCGAUACGUAAUGUGAAUUGCAAAUUCAGUGAAUCAUCGAGUCUUUGAACGCACAUUGCGCCCCCUGGUAUUCCGGGGGGCAUGCCUGUCCGAGCGUCAUUGCUGCCCUCAAGCACGGCUUGUGUGUUGGGCCCCGUCCUCCGAUCCCGGGGGACGGGCCCGAAAGGCAGCGGCGGCACCGCGUCCGGUCCUCGAGCGUAUGGGGCUUUGUCACCCGCUCUGUAGGCCCGGCCGGCGCUUGGCGAUCAACCCAAAUUUUUAUCCAGGUUGACCUCGGAUCAGGUAGGGAUACCCGCUGAACUUAAGCAUAUCAAUAAGCGGAGGA